UGAAUCUUCUUCUUCCCUUGAAUUAAGACUCAGAUUGAGAUACUAUGGAAGAUUUACAAAAAGUGCUUAAUAUGGAAGAUUCACCAAAAACUUCCAACAAUGAAAAAGAAUUGUCAGAAGGGACUCAAACUCCAAGAACUAUUACACAAG